CGACACCGCGCGGAACCGAAGCCGUUCUCAGUUCGGAUCGGAGUCUGCAACCCGACUCCGUGAAGCUGGAUUCGCUAGUAAUCGCGCAUCAGCCAUGGCGCGGUGAAUACGUUCCCGGGCCUUGUACACACCGCCCGUCAAGCCAUGGGAGCCGGGGGUGCUUGAAGUGCGUCGCCGCAAGGCGCGCCCUAGAGCAAAAACCGGUGACUGGGGCUAAGUCGUAACAAGGUAGC
rnacentral:rRNA from 1 species